rnacentral:lncRNA from 1 species
GUUUGUAUAGUGCUAGGCCAGUGGGCUGGCACACUAGAAUUACAAUACAUAUUCUGAAUGUAGUAAUUUUAGCAACAAAUGAGAAGGUCACUCGUAAUAUGCUCCCAGUUACCACAUGAAUGUUGGAAACAUUAAAACUGUACUACUGUCUAGUUUUCUGCCCAUCUACGCAAAUUGUUCCUUAACCAUACAUUGUAAACAAGAGAGCAGGCUAAAAAGGCUACCAGUAUUCAGCCAAAAAUCAGCACUCAAGCGGAAAAAGUGUUGCAGAAGAUAAAGGAAUUACAGUCAGAAAUACAUACUGCUCAGCUGGAACUUGGAAAGAAAGAGAACAGCACCAAGUUUUUCAAGGCAGAAAAUCAAGCCAUGCAUAAACGUCUGCAAACUCUAUCAGAUGCAAAUACUAGAGAAAAGCUACUAUUAGUGGAGGAUGUUACAAAGCUGAAGAAACUUGCUGAGAUUGUCAUUCAGGACAUUUCACACAAAGAAGCAGAGCUACUAGAAGUCCAGCAAGAGCUACAGAGGGCCACGAAUUCCAUGAAAGAAAAAGAGCAUAAUCGCCAUCAUUUGGAAAAUGAACUCCACCAGCAGAUUCAACACCACCAGGAUAUGGAAGCAAAGCUUGUGGAAAAUAGAUCAGAAUGUGUAAGAGUGCAGGCGUUGCUCCACCAGCUAGAGGAGAAAUACCUUACUAGCUCCCAGUCCAUGCAGCAGCAUAUUGCUAAAGAACUUCGUGAAGAAGCUGAAAAACUAAGACAGCAGCUCAAAGAAAAAGAACUUUCCGCUGAUGAGGAUAAAUAUUUACGCAACAAAAUGGCAGAAGAUUGUGGAUAUCUGACAAAAGAAAAUGGCUUUUUACAGUCUCAGGUUCUGGAAGCCACCAGGCAACUAGAUAGAGAGAGGCAGCUGAGAGAGGAGGAAAGCACCUGCCAUACAAGGAGGAUUUCUGAGCUAGCUUGUGAAAAGGAGAAAGAACGACAACUUGAGAUGGAGCUCACUUACCUGAAGAGACUAUUGCAGGAUGAAAGACAGAAGGCUCUUACUGCACAAGAGCAGGUACGACGUCUCCAGCAAGAAAGGAAAUCUGUAAAUCUAAAUGGACAGUCACUUCAGAGCCAGCUAAAAGAUUUAGAAAGGAGAUGGUCAAGAGCUCAACUGGAAAAUUCAAAACUGCAAACAGAAAAAACGCAUUUAGUAGAACAUAUUUCUCAGUUACAUAAACAGAUUUCUGAGAAAGAAGAUGAAAUCAAUCGCAUGCUUGGACAUGUUAAUACUAUGUCCUAUGACCUGACUACUCAGAAAUCUCAAGUGGAAACAGAACAUAGCUUGCAGAGAGAAAGAUGGAAAGAGUUCUCCAAUAUUCUAACAGCAUACAAGUCACCUGCUAAAUGA